CCAGACUCCUACGGGAGGCAGCAGUGGGGAAUCUUCCGCAAUGGACGAAAGUCUGACGGAGCAACGCCGCGUGAGUGAUGACGGCCUUCGGGUUGUAAAGCUCUGUUAAUCGGGACGAAAGGCCUUCUUGCGAAUAGUGAGAAGGAUUGACGGUACCGGAAUAGAAAGCCACGGCUAACUACGUGCCAGCAGCCGCGGUAAUACGUAGGUGGCAAGCGUUGUCCGGAAUUAUUGGGCGUAAAGCGCGCGCAGGCGGAUCGGUCAGUCUGUCUUAAAAGUUCGGGGCUUAACCCCGUGAUGGGAUGGAAACUGCCAAUCUAGAGUAUCGGAGAGGAAAGUGGAAUUCCUAGUGUAGCGGUGAAAUGCGUAGAUAUUAGGAAGAACACCAGUGGCGAAGGCGACUUUCUGGACGAAAACUGACGCUGAGGCGCGAAAGCCAGGGGAGCGAACGGGAUUAGAUACCCCGGUAGUCCUGGCCGUAAACGAUGGGUACUAGGUGUAGGAGGUAUCGACCCCUUCUGUGCCGGAGUUAACGCAAUAAGUACCCCGCCUGGGGAGUACGACCGCAAGGUUGAAACUCAAGGAAUUGACGGGGGCCCGCACAAGAU
rnacentral:rRNA from 1 species